rnacentral:rRNA from 1 species
AUUGAACGCUGGCGGCAGGCUUAACACAUGCAAGUCGAGCGAGCGGCGGACGGGUGAGUAAUGUCUGGGAAACUGCCUGAUGGAGGGGGAUAACUACUGGAAACGGUAGAUAAUACCGCAUACCAUCAGAUGUGCCCAGAUGGGAUUAGCUAGUAGGUGGGGUAAGGGCUCACCUGGGCGACGAUCCCAAGCUGGUCUGAGAGGCGGAACAGCCACACUGGAACUGAGACACGGUCCAGACUCCUACGGGUGGCAGCAGAGGGGAAGAUUGCACAAGGGGAUCAAGCCUGAUGCAGCCAUGCCGCGUGUGUGAAGAAGUCCUUCGGGUUGUAAAGCACUUUCAGCGAGGAGGCGUUACUCGCAGAAGAAGCACCGGCUAACUCCGUGCCAGCAGCCGCGGUAAUUC